GCUGGCUUUGCCAGCUCAUGUGCUAAAAUUGGAAUGAUGCAGAGAAGAUAAGCAUGGAUCCUCUGCAAGGAUGUGAUGGGAAUGUCUUUCUGAAAAUGUGU
rnacentral:snRNA from 1 species